rfam:Thermoplasmatales archaeon DG-70 WOR1_52_54_500, whole genome shotgun sequence.
GGGCUCGUAGCUCAGCUGGUAUGAGCGCUGCCUUCGCAAGGCAGAGGCCGCGGGUUCAAAUCCCGCCGAGUCCA